rnacentral:antisense_RNA from 1 species
CGGUGGGUGUGCUCCCAGGUGGCCUCGCCGUCGAGGAGGCAGGAGUCGCCGAAGUAGCCGCCGUCCGCGAGGACGUCGAUGACGGCCUCGUCGCCGUACGGGCCGGAGCCGACGCGCUCGACCUUGCCGUGCGCCAGCAGGUAGACGCGGUCCGCCCGCGUCCCGGCCUCGGCGAUCACGUCGCCGGGCUCGAAGGUGCGCUGCGAGCACCGCUGGGCGAGCUCGCGGAGCGCGUGCUCGUCGUCGUACCCGCGCAGGGGCGGAAGCUCGCCCAGCUCGGCGGGGAUCACCUCGACGCGCUCGCCGGUCUGCACGAACGUGACGCGCCCGUCGCCCACUGCGUACGUGUACCGGCGGUUCACCCGGUACGUGCCGCCCUGGACCUGCACCCACGGCAGCAUCCGCAGGAGCCACCGGGAGGUGAUCUCCUGCAUCUGGGGUGCUGACUUGGUGGUGGUCGCAAGCUUCCGCGCCGCGUCAGUGCCGAGGCUCUUCUG